CCCCUGGACAAAGACUGACGCUCAGUGCGAAAGCGUGGGGGAGCAAACAGGAUUAGAUACCCUGGUAGUCACGCCGUAAACGAUGUCGAUUUGGAGGUUGUGCCCUUGAGGCGUGGCUUCCGGAGCUAACGCGUUAAAUCGACCGCCUGGGGAGUACGGCCGCAAGGUUAAAACUCAAAUGAAUUGACGGGGGCCCGCACAAGCGGUGGAGCAUGUGGUUUAAUUCGAUGCAACGCGAAGAACCUUACCUGGUCUUGACAUCCACAGAACUUUCCAGAGAUGGAUUGGUGCCUUCGGGAACUGUGAGACAGGUGCUGCAUGGCUGUCGUCAGCUCGUGUUGUGAAAUGUUGGGUUAAGUCCCGCAACGAGCGCAACCCUUAUCCUUUGUUGCCAGCGGUUAGGCCGGGAACUCAAAGGAGACUGCCAGUGAUAAACUGGAGGAAGGUGGGGAUGACGUCAAGUCAUCAUGGCCCUUACGACCAGGGCUACACACGUGCUACAAUGGCAUAUACAAAGAGAAGCGACCUCGCGAGAGCAAGCGGACGACAUAAAGUAUGUCGUAGUCCGGAUUGGAGUCUGCAACUCGACUCCAUGAAGUCGGAAUCGCUAGUAAUCGUAGUUCGGAAUGCUACGGUGAAUACGUUCCCGGGCCUUGUACACUUCUCCCGUCACACCAUGGGAGUGGGUUGCAAAAGAAGUAGGUA
rnacentral:rRNA from 1 species